GCUUUGACUGGCAGAGUCCGAGCAGAGGAAGCUUGCCGGACACCAGGAGAGCUGCCACCCGGACAGAGCUGGCCAGAGGCCUGUGCAUGGGCCACAAGGAAAGAAGGCACAGCCUAACGUAACCUGGCAAGCACCUGUGUAGCCUCUGUAAGUGCUUACCCAGAGAAGCAGGAGCACGGCGAUCUGGGUGUUUGGUGACACUUCCAUCUGAGAGCAGGGCCCAGGUGGAAGAGGCAGCUGGAUGCAGAAAGUAACCUGGGGCCAGGCAUGGUGGCUCACGCCUGUAAUCCCGGCACUUUGGGAGGCCAAGGCAGGUGGAUCACCUGAGGUCAGGAGUUCAAGACCAGUCUGACCAAUAUGGCGAAACCCCGUCUCCACUAAAUACAAAAAAUUCACCUGGCGUGGUGGUGUGCACCUGUAAUCCCAGCUACUCGGGAGGCUGAGGCAGGAGAAUCGCUUGAACCCGGGAGGUGGAGGUUGCAGUGAGCUGAGAUUGUGCCACUGCACUCCAGCCUGGGCAACAGAGCGAGACUCCAUCCCAAAUAAAAAAGAGAAAAAAGAAAGAAACUUGGACACAAACGCAUGCCAUUGGAAGACCGUGGGAAGACACGGGCAGAAGGUGGCCAUCUCCAUGCCAGACAGGGACCUCAGAAGGAGGCCAUCCUGCCAACGCCUUGGUCUUGGACUCCAGCAUCCAGAACUUCGAGAUGAUAAGUGGGGGUUGUUGAAGCUGCCCAGUCUGGGGAACUUUGUGACAGCUGCCCCAGAAAUCUGAUCCACUGCACCUGGCCUCAGAGUUCAGGCUGGCUCCACUCUCUCUCUCCCGACACCUCCCAUCAGGUGGGGACCUGCAGCCCAUUCCCAGGUGGGGGUCUGCACAAGGACAAGUUUGGGAUGAAGCCUCAGGUCACCUGGCUUCCUGGAUCUAUAAACUGUCAUCUAAGUGACAGGCUUGGCUCAGGAAAGCCGCUCGGUGCCAACCAGCUUGAGAGCCUAGCUCCCGGGGGCAGGCCACCGCACAGAGAACACACACGCUUUCCUAACAGCCUUGCUGGGGAAAUUUGGCCACUGGCUGCAAAACCUCACUGGAAGUAAAAAAUAGGAGUGUCAGAUCCUGUAGCUGAAUGAAAGAAAUUUGGACCAGCCAGGGUUAAGGAAGACAGACUUUCUGCUCUCCAGAGUCUGCCUGUGCUCUCAGGACAGGCCUCGGUGUGGCAGCACGUGAACCAGUGGCAGGCUGUUUUUCUUUCUUUCCAUGUUCCCAGCCCCUGGCACAUGGUAGGUGCUCAGAAAGUGCUAAGGACUUCCUAAAUGCAAACCUACACAGCCUAGCCCGUGCAGCAGGGAACGGAGAUCACCGGGCACUCGGGAGCCAUCCACUCGGUGGUGGGCGAUUUGAGCCGCUGUCUUCAGGACCGAGACCAGGCAUCAGGGACCCCAGAUUGUGGAGCAGACAACAACGCCGGCUGACCUCGGACGACGUCUCGUCCCGUAUUCUAUGUCUCAUGUCCUCUGUGAAAUGGAAGAGCCUCCAUCCCUAAGGGGACAGAGUUUCGGGCUUGGUGAAUGGAGCCUGGUGCGAAGCAGGAAGGAAGCCCCUUGGCUCCCACCUGCCAGCUACUCCGGGGCACUCCCCCGACCUUCUGGCCAUCUCCAUUGCUCAGAGCCCCACUGUGGGAGGUCUGAGCUCUCAGAGGCUGCAGUGAAGAGUGACAAGGAUGACGCCCCCACCAACCCCAUCAGGGUUCCUGGGGGUGCGGAUGACAUGUGGGCCACCUGGGCUUGUCUUUAGCGUUUUGGGGAGAUGAAUAGUUUGAGUGACUGUCUGCUUGCACCUGCCUCAGGACAGAGUAGUGAGAGGUAGGAGGAAGGCGUAGAGGGGAAGGGAGCUUCAGAGGUAACCCCCGACUGAACCGAGAGUGCACAGGUGGUCAUCCUGCACCCAGUCCUCCUGUCAACACCACAGGGGUCCAGGGACCUAGACAGGUGGGGGACCACCCGUUGUUACGGAGUGACUGGGAGGGCCACCCGAGGAGAGCCAAGCAGGGGACCACCCCUCCCGGCAUGGGCAGACCUAGCAGGGCAGCCCCGGGACUUGGGGCGUGAGAUCCGACUUCCUGAGGCUCCACUCCUGGCGGGGGGCAGGCCAGGCCACCGUGGCUCUCCAAGGAAGGCGCACUGCCUAGCUGCGUGGAGCGUGGUUGGCCUCCAGCCGUUGGCUUCCUCAGGGUCAGCAUCCUCUCUGCCUCUCCAGGAGUCUGAGCUAGGUGAGGAUACAAGGGCCUGACUAUUCCACCCCUCAAGGGCUCCUCUGAUGGGCAGCACUGGCUCUGCAUGCCCACUGGGCUGCCAGAGAUGAGUGUGGCAGAUCCACAUCGCAGCUUACCCACCCCUCCUGCACUCUCUUGCAGCCUCUCUUUUCUUCAUGGGUGUUGCUCCCUCAUAAAUAAAUAAAUAUAUAUAUAUACACACACACACACACACAUAGUUGCUGUUGUUGUUGUUGUUGUUGUUUUUGAGGCAGGGUCUUGCUCUGUCGCCCAGGCUGGAGUUCAG
rnacentral:lncRNA from 1 species